CUGGGGGUUGGGUGUUGACUGCGCCUCCCUGUGCACCUCCCUGUACCCGCUGAAAAGUCAAUGCCCUUCCCAACAGAGGAGCCCCUAAGAUUGGGUAGGCAAGAGAAUGGCCUCAAGGGUGAUUGCUGCGGCAGUACUUUCAAGCUUCUCUUCAUGUGCACUGUGCUAAGUGCACUAACAAUCCAGCAAAGUUCACCCAUGAGUUACCCCCACUUUGCAAGGCUCAGAAAAGCUUGCUGGAUGGGAAAUGGUAUGGCAGGAAUGUGCCAGAACCUAACAUCUGCCAGGUAUGUGCAGGGACUUUGAAUAUUUUCUCUAGCAAGUAGCUCUUUCCAACCACAGAACAAACCUGCCAAGCAGAGUCAGAAGCACACUUGCUGGGCCCUGCUUCUCUUGUGUCCACUUCACCAGGGCCUCACUCCAGGCUGCAGACACACUGGAAACUGGGUAGAGUCUGGAAGGCCCACUGGUCAGCUAGAGGCGUCUGAGAGCAUACCCUUUCUAGUAGGCUGUACUGAAGUCAUUCACCCAAUCUCCCCUCCCUAAGCCCAUCUCCACUGGCCCCUGGCACCUUCCUCCCCUCUCCCCCAUCCUAGAGGAAAAAGGGAAAGUCCCAGGCAAGCCCUCAGCAUGGUCCUUGGCAUCCAAGGUAUAAGUGACCAAUCCUGGUGGAUUUCCAAGCUUAUUUCUACUGGUUUUUCACCAGGGUUUAGCUGGAUUCCUUCAAAACCCAAAGUUAUUUCCUUUCCCUUCCCAUGGGGACUCUGAAUUUGCAAUGUUCUCUGGCCCAGACAUGCUCUCAGAGAAUCCUUGAUUUUCCCUGUUCUUCUCUCAUGCAGCAGCCACCUGCAUUCCUCUCCAUUCAGCUGAGAACCAGCAAGAUGGGGAGGAGCCAAGUCCAGAAUCCCCAACAGCAGGCCCUCAGCUACCUCAAAUCUAGCCUCAAGAGCCUUACAGAGGCCCAAAGGAAACUAGUGACCUGUCAGUCCCCAGGACAUGCCAGGCACCCUGCAUUCCUGUCCUCUAAUAUUCUUUUCACUAAAGUCCUACUUUCUCUAGUCAAAUGCCAGUGUCUUCUCGAUACCCAGAAUUAUCUGGAUCUCUGGGUCACUUGGCUAAGCUUCAAUCAUCCAAUGACAUAAGUUGGUCUUGGUUCUGGCCACUCCCAUACUGCUGACUCUGGUGUCAGGGGGAGGGCCACCUGAGAAACAGGAACCCCAGGAAAAAGAUGGGGCCUGUUGCCACCAAAUCAGCUUCCUGCCAGGGCAGGCUGGUACCUAGACCUGUGACUAGGAACUGAAGCCAACAGCCAGAAAAGCGCAGUCUCCCUGUAAUGAGGGAGAUGGGGUGAUGUUUCGGAUGCCACCUGGUGGCCAAGGCAGGUAAAAGAAUGAACAAGAUAAAAAGCACCUGUAAUUGCAUCAACCAGAGAUGACCACCCAUAAUUUCUGAUUAGCUUUACUCUCUGUAUUCCUGGACAAGAAACCAGAAAAGAAGUAGAAAUCAUCAUUCCACUCCUGUAGCUGCAGAAAGUGGCUGUCCUGUUGUGUGUCCUCAGAGCUCCCUGUGUCUCUCCCUCACAGUACUUUGUGUGACUACAUGACAUAAAUUACUUGUGUACGUGUCACCUUCCCUAUCACAAUCUAAGUUCCGCACAGCAGGGCCACAUGGUCUUGUUUGCAGCUUUGUCUCUGGAGCUAAGCAUCAGACUGGACUUACCGCUGGUGCUCAGUACGUAGUUCGGCUAUGAAUUCAGACUGAAUGAGGACUCCACUUGGAAGGAUGUGUGUCACAUCCAGUCAUAGGGCCAUCGGAGACUGGGACAGGAAGAUGUCUUGAGUGACAACUCUGAGACUCUGAAAUGGUGCUGGCAGAGUGUACUCAAAAGGAUGUCCUAGAGCUCCAAUCUGUCCUAUUCACGGGCUUUGGACAUACAGCCAGCUGUGCCAGGGUUGGAAGUGGGUGUUGGUGACUGGUUCUGCAAGUAAGAAGAAUCACCUUCUAUAGAGUGCUCUUCCCCAGGCCCUGUGGACAUUCUCUUUCUCUUGCAUGCUUUUCUUAACUCUCUGGUCCGGAUGCCUUGCAUCUGCCUUUCAAAUGCACAUGGAGCCCUUUCCAUCCCCACUCCACCAAGUCUAACAUCAGAAAUCCUCAUUUCUGCAUUUCUGUAGGAGAAGCUAUAGGAAGAGCUGACAGUUCUAGCUGCAUCAGGCAGGAACUCUGCUGAGAAGUGAUAGUGCUGAUGGAUUACUUGGGUGUUCAUGAGCACGUGGCAUCUCAUCACACUCAGCAGGGAGGCAGGAUCAUGGCCACAGAACAAGUUUCCAUGGACUCAGGGAACUGAAGACUUACUUCCUUAUUUCUGUUGCUGGCAUCAUCUGUCUCCCACAUUGGUUUGAUUGGUUCCCCAAUCUGUGGAAAUCUUCCAUAGAAGACAUGGACAGAUAGAUGUGGAUAUCCAGGAGAAUCCUCUAGAAAUGGAAAGGAAGCUGUAGAUCUCAUUCAAAAAGAAUCCCUUUGGGGACAUGGAAAAUGCAAAAUGUAUUCAACAGGACUUGUGAAAUAGGGGCAAUGAUGGGAGGGAAGGAGGAGGAUAAAGUGAGUCAUUUUGAUGAGUAGAUGGGACUCUUCCAGCCUAUUUUCUUGGUUUCCUAGGUAGGGAGAGCUGCCACAGGACUUCAUAAACCACAACUUUCCAAUGAGUGUGGUUGGUUCAUUUUGAUGUAUUGAGCAGCAGGGGCUUGUGGAAGUCCUGGAGAGACUCUGCUAUCCCUGGGCAAUUGUCAGGAUCUAGUACAGCUGGUAACUCAGAAGAAGCUGGUUGGGAUGGCCAUGGUGUGAAAAAGGAUACACAUGGGCUAUGGAAAUAAGGUGGUCCUCCUCCCAGUGUCUAAAUGAGGAUAACAUGUCACCAAUAUAUCGCAGCAAAGGAAUGGGACCAAUUCAUCAGACCAGUGGUCACCAUUCCAUUCUGCUGGUUUUAGCUUCUGGAAAUGGAACUAUAGAUGUGGACAGUUCUGGACCCGUGUCCCCCCGACACAAUUUACCACAAACUGCAGUGUGUGGACUGCACAAGAAUGGAUGCUCUGGGAAAAUAAUGAAAAUAGUUUUGUGCAUUAGAGAACAUGGUUUAUAAAGCUUUCUGCAAUUUGCUAUUUAGACUUAACAGCCCUUCAGGUCUUUAGGGAAGGUGCCAUUAUUGCCACUUUGCAGAUAGGUCAACCAGUUUCAAAAACAACUUCUCCAGAACCAUAUCACUUGUAAGUUACUGAGCUAACAAUCUAAUUCAAAGACAGGUAUUUAAUUCAAGUUCAGAUUCAAGGCUCUUAGAUUUUGCUGACGUUGUCAAGAGGUUGCCUGAGCCUCUGAUCCCCUCUGUUUGCCAUUUUAAUAGAAAAGUCAAGUGCCUGCAGACUCCAGAGGAUGUGGAGAAGUAUUGGACACAAAAUCAUCAGGAGAUUCCACUUGAUUACCACAUUUGCAAUUUCUGGAGUAAGGUUGGAUAUCAUCAGAAUUCAGAGGACUUGCUGAGAUUUCUCAAGCCAUGUUGCAUAACCUGUGUCCUGUGGCAUGUGGGCUGAUCCACACACAAGGGGCAUGUGCAGCACUGGGCAGGGAAGAGCAACAGGAUGUAUCCCAGUUAAAUAACCAUGAGUAAAGCAGUCUGUCCUGGCCUUGAAUUCUCAGAAUGGGGAGACUUGUCACAUGAUGAACCUCCCCAAGUCCAUUCAAAGCACUGCUGAUCACAGGCCUUUUCCAGAAUUCCAAAUUCCCCAAAGGGAACAAGAAAACACCUGUUGCCUCUUUCCCUGCUGCUCAGAAUCACAUUGUUGGCUUCCUGUUUCUCCCCUCUGUCUCAAAGUCCAGUGUUACAAAUCAGAGAGACGUCCUGGUGCUAUUGUGGGUGAGAGGCAGCAGUUCCCCUUACCUUCCCACCAAGUUGAUCUAACAUAAGAUGAUUGGCACUGGUGCAGUUUCUCAUCCUUUUCCCCCAAACAAAACACGCACUUUGGCCACUUUGGCUCGGCACAGUGGCGCAUGCCUGAAAUCCCAGUAGCUCGGGAGGCUGAGGCAGGAGGAUGGCAAGUUCAAAGCCAGUCUCAGCAGCGGUGGGACGCUAAGCAACUCAGUGAAACCCUGUAUCUAAAUAAAAUACAAAAUAGGGCUGGGGAUGUGGUUCAGUGGCUGGGUGCCCCUGAGUUUAAUCCCCAGUACUCCCCCCGC